rnacentral:rRNA from 1 species
UACGGGGGGGGCAAGCGUUGUUCGGAAUUACUGGGCGUAAAGGGCUCGUAGGCGGCCAACUAAGUCAGACGUGAAAUCCCUCGGCUUAACCGGGGAACUGCGUCUGAUACUGGAUGGCUUGAGUCCGGGAGAGGGAUGCGGAAUUCCAGGUGUAGCGGUGAAAUGCGUAGAUAUCUGGAGGAACACCGGUGGCGAAGGCGGCAUCCUGGACCGGCACUGACGCUGAGGAGCGAAAGCAUGGGGAGCGAACAGG